GCCAGCAGUUUCGGUUAUACGAUCUAGUUUUUUAAAUUUUUUUUUAAGGUCUUUUUUUGCUUUUGGAAAAUUAAGGUGAAAUUUAAUUUGUUAUUGUUUGUGGAUUUUAGUUAAGUUAUUUUUUGGGAAAAGGAUUAGAUACCCUUUUACUUAUUUUUUUGUAGGUAGUAUUUUGAUUUAAGGAAACUUAUUGUAGAUGGCGGUUUAAAGGUUUUACAGAGGGGCUUGAAGAGUAAUAGAUGAUCCUCUUUUGAUUAUUACUUUUUUUUUUAUCUUUUGUAUUUUUGUAAUGUGGAGGCUUAUUGGCUUUUUGCGGGUAAAUUUUAUUUGUUAUUGCAAAUCAAAAUGUAGAUUAUGAAUUAGAUUUUUUUAGCCACAUUGUUUUGGUUUAGUUUGUAUUUUAGUAUUUGUAAGUAAAUUUGGGUUUUUUAUCUUUUUUGAAUUUUUAACUUUUGAUGUACAUAUCGCCCGUCGCUUUUAUUAUGGUAAAAUAAGUCGUAACAAAGUAG
rnacentral:rRNA from 1 species